AACAAUUUCAGCAAGAACCUAUUAAAAGGCCGGAAGGGAUAGGGCCUCCUUAUAUGUGGUCCGGCCCGUGUUGGCAAAAAAUAGGGUUUGAAUAUAAAGGAUUUGGGAUUGGGAUAUUAUCAUUCAUCCUCAUCCACAAGCGACGCGUCUUCGUGUGAGUCACUCUCUCCUCUCUAUUUCAAAACUCGGAACUCGAUCUUUUGAUGGUAUCUCUGAAUGGUUGUUACCUGAGAAAUUAAACGAAUCUUCGAUCUGAUGGCAAAAUGGCUCCUAUGUCUAUUAAACCCAUCAUGGCUCAAGUGAGGUCCAUGAUCCGCAGUAUUCCUACACCCUCCACGGAGGUGACUUCCCGACCAGUGUUCUGGGAGGCCACGAUGGGUACGUACGCGGUUUAUGCCCAAUGGAUAUAUUACCAGAUGUUUAAAGAGAGGAAACUGUAGGAAGCUCUUGAUGAUGUGUUUAACCAAACUGUGGGUGGGUGGGGUGUUUUUAAUAACUUAUUUUAAAGACUGAUGUAAUAAUUGUUCCAGCUACAAUUGAGAUUGAGAUUGUGUUUUGCUUUACGUUGAGAUUAUGGUUUGCUUUUCCUUUGA